AUGAAAAAAAAUCAUACUAUUGGAUUCAUAUUUGAAUUCCCUUUUGGUAAGACGAGGGAUAUUGGCCAAGUCAAAUGCAUCAAGGACGGAGCAGGUCAACUCUUGGUGAAGGACGAGGAGAUUAAGCACAGAUGGCGGGAGUACUUCGACAAGCUGUUCAAUGGGGAGAAUGAGAGUUCUAUCAUUGAACUGGACGACUCCUUUGAUGAGACCGGCAUGCGUUUUGUGCGGCGAAUCCAGGAGUCUGAGGUCAAGGAGGCUUUAAAAAGGAUGAAAGGCGGCAAGGCGAUGGGCCCUGAUUGUAUCCCCAUUGAGGUGUGGAAAGGUCUUGGGGAUAUAGCGAUAGUAUGGCUAACCAAGCUUUUCAACCUCAUUUUUCGGACAAACAAGAUGUCAGAAAAAUGGAGACGGAGUAUAUUAGUACCAAUCUUCAAGAACAAGGGGGAUGUUCAGAGUUGUACUAAUUAUCGUGGAAUUAAGCUGAUGAGCCAUACAAUGAAGCUAUGGGAGAGGGUCAUUGAGCACCGCUUAAGAAGAAUGACAAGCAUGACCAAAAAUCAGUUUGGUUUCAUGCCUGGGAGGUUGACCAUGGAAGCCAUUUUUUUGGUACGACAACUUAUGGAGAGAUAUAGGGAGCAAAAGAAGGACUUGCAUAUGGUGUUCAUUGACUUGGAGAAGGCCUAUGAUAAGACACCGCGGAAUGUCAUGUGGUGGGCCUUGGAGAAACACAAAGUCCCAGCAAAGUACAUUACCCUCAUCAAGGACAUGUACGAUAAUGUUGUGACAAGUGUUCGAACAAGUGAUGUCGACAUUGAUGACUUCCCGAUUAAGAUAGGACUGCAUCAGGGUCAGCUUUGA
rnacentral:rRNA from 1 species